UGGAUAUGAUGGGCGUUGGGUUGUCUUAUCACCAAUUGAAAACCCAGAUAACAGGAUGGAUAUAUAAGGCUCUCGAUGCCGUCCGAUGGCCAUUUAAUUAAUUCCGGUGUCGGCGCUUUCGCUGUCUUAUUUUAUUACUUGUUUCAAUUUAAUUUAAGUUCGUAGUCUUAAGGAUACACACACACAAAAUGUCAUGCUGCAAGAAGUACGCCGUUUGCUGGAUAAUCCUCGUGGUGGCUGCAGUCGGCGUGACCUUGGGCCUGGUCUUCGGACUCCGGGGCAAAGCGGAGGAGCCGCGUCGCAUGGGCGCCGUAGCCUCGAACGGCGUGGGCUGUGCCGAGAUAGGUGGCACGAUGCUGGACAUCGGAGGAUCGGCGGCGGAUGCGGCCAUUGCCACAAUGCUGUGCGAGGGCAUUAUGUUGCCCCACAGCCUAGGCGUGGGUGGUGGCUUUGUGGCCACCAUUUAUUCCAAAGAGACUGGCUUCAUAGAGACUCUAAUUGCCCGGGAAACUGCUCCCGCAGCGGCCACCCAAGACAUGUUCGUCGGAAAAGAAAUUACCGGUGCACUAUCCUGCGCAGUUCCCGCCGAGAUCUAUGGUUACUCCAAGCUGCAUCAUAAAUACGGCCGGCUGCCCUGGCGAACCCUCUUCCAGCCCAGCAUUGAUCUCUGUCGACAUGGCAUAUUGGUCUCCAGAUAUCUGGCCGGAGUUCUUCAACGUGAGGAGGAGCGCAUCAGGAACGAACCGUCUAUGGCCGAAAUCUUCAUCAAUCCGAAAACGGAUGAGGUCUACAAACAGGGUGAGAUUAUGUACCGACACACAUUGGCUGAAACCUUGGAAAUCAUCGCGGAUGAGGGCGCCGAUGUCGUUUAUCGCGGCGGCAGAGUGGGCAGGAAAUUGGUCGAGGACAUCCAGGCAAUGGGCGGCAUCAUUACCGAGGAUGAUCUAAAGAACUACGAUGUUCGUUGGGAAUUGCCGCUGCACUCCCACUUCAAUGGAGGAUACGAGCUGUUCACCUCGCCCCUGCCCACCAGUGGUGCUGUGUUGACCUUUAUCCUGAACGUGAUGGAACCGCUGUACACGGUCAAUACGGACAAAUACUGGCAGCGAUUGAUCGAGACCUUCAAGCACGCCUAUGGCCAUCGCACCAAUUUGGGCGAUAUCCAUUAUGAACCAGAUGUUCAAGACAUCUACGAGAAACUCAUCGAUCCGAACUUUGCAGCUGAGAUCCGUGAACUGAUCCUGGACGACAGAACCUUCGAGGAUAUGGCAUACUAUGGAGCCAACUUUGCCAACGAAGAGGAUCAUGGUACAGCACACAUUUCCGUUUUGGCACCCAACGGAGAUGCUAUUUCGGUGACCAGUACAAUCAAUAGCCAUUUGGGAGCUAAAGUGAGAUCCCGCCAAACGGGCUUCAUCCUAAACGACGAGAUGGACGACUUCAGUACGCCAGGGAAGGUUAAUACGUACGGGAUUCCAGCCAGUCCAGCGAACUUCAUUAAGCCAGGCAAACGGCCUAUGUCCUCAACGUGUCCCAGCAUCGUUCUGGAUACCCAUGGCAAUGUCAAAUUGAUUGUGGGUGGAGCUGGUGGCUCCAAGAUCACCACCUCGGUGGCCCAGACCAUCCUUAGAUAUUUUGUGCUCAACGAACCCAUUGAGAAGGCUGUUAACUCGGGUAGAUUGCACCAUCAACUGGCGCCCAUGCGCAUCGACAUGGAGCCGGAUGUUCCGAAGCAUACGGUUGCCUAUUUGCGAAAAAUUGGUCAUGAGAUCAUGUUCCUUGAGGAUGACAAGGCCUAUUCCGCCCAAACGGCUAUCGGAAUCCUGGGCGGCGAACCACAUCCCAUUUGCGAUCGAAGAAGAGUGGGUAGCGCCGUCGUCGUGGAGCCAGAUCGAUUUGACUAGGUCUGGAUUAGGGGUUCAUUUCAUCUCAACCUUGGAAAAACCACCGUGGGGAAAGAGUGCCGACAGAUAUUUCCGUUUCCAAGCCCCGGAAGUUCGUUUUGUACUGAUAUUUAAGGAGAAUCUCUGUUGGUAGUUGGGAUAUUAUCAAGAUUUCGACAACAUCUUAAAAAGGAAAUUUAAAAUUUUAUAGUUUAAAUAAUAUAUAUUUCUUUUAAAUUCAAUAUACAAAAAUUGGGUUAUUAAAAACGAAAAGAAGUCUCAUUGACUCGCAUGAGUUGGUUUCC